GUCGAAUUUUCUGCAUCAAAAGAGUGGAAAAAGCAUUCCAUUCUCCUAAGGAAAAUUCACUGCUAUCUACAGUUUUCAUGUGUCACAAUGCCCAGCACCUAAUGCUCGGCUCUUUGUAUCUUUAUGGCCUGCAGCCAGCAGUUGGCACUAACCAAAGAGAAGCAAGAAGACUAGCAGCAAGGAGACUCCUGCUAGGACGAGCACAAAGGAGACUGCUCUUCCCACUGACCUGGCUAAUUCCUAACCAAAAAAGAGGAGAUUGCUCCUCCUAGUUCUUCUGUACAUGGGUCACGCACUCUACUCGUUUUUGGCAUUCAUAAAUCGCUUACGAAAUCUGAAAUGUUGAUCAGAUUUGUGCAACAAUUUUGAUGGCAUUUUGGCAGCAGGCUGUAGGAUGCUGCUGCCAACCUGUCCGGCAUCGUAAAUAGCAAUUUGCCAGCUGCAGAAAAGUGUCUGCAUUUUGCCAGCCUACGACACUAAGUGCGGGCAGAAAACUCGGAUUUUGAUUGGCAAUUUGUGCGUUUCCUGGUGCUGGAACUUCGAUGCACGCCCGUAUCAACAUAAAUGCCUCCUUCUUCCCUUAGCCUGGCAGCAAAUUUGAUUCUGUUUGCCUCCUGCAAGUGCAAUUCAACGAGCAAACUAAUUUGAUUAGACCAAUAAAU
rnacentral:lncRNA from 1 species